UCAUAUAUAUAUAUUAUAGGUGCAGAGAGGAGUUGGUUGCCCCAAUGUAAAUCCUAAUGUGAGAGUUAAAGGACGGUCAACAAUAUAAUGUACCUUGGUCAGUUUGGAUUUAUUGUGGCAUUUAUUCUUAAUUAAAGUGAAUUUAUUUUAUUUCAGUCGGUCAUUUGUGUGUAUGCAGGUGUGGGACAUUCCAAAUGUUCCAAAAGUGAGCACUCCACGAGGACAACAGUUUGCCAGGACCUCUCAGGCACCCACAACCAGCGUCUGAUCGGGAUGGAGCACCAACCCCAUUCCAGGAAGAGGUCCAGUCUGCCCCGGGUCAGAACAACUUCUAUAGAUAAACGAUGUUGACAGUUGCA